rnacentral:rRNA from 1 species
CCCUUAGACGUUCUGGGCCGCACGCGCGCUACACUGACCAGUGCAACAAGCAUCCGUCCUUGGCCGACAGGCUCGGGCAAUCUUUGAACGCUGGUCGUGAUGGGGAUAGACUUUUGCAAUUUUUGGUCUUCAACGAGGAAUUCCUAGUAAACGCAAGUCAUCAACUUGCAUUGAUUACGUCCCUGCCCUUUGUACACACCGCCCGUCGCACCUACCGAUUGAGUGAUCCGGUGAAUAAUUCGGACUGCAGCACUGCUUGGUCUCCAGGCUUUGCAGCGGAAAGUUUAGUGAACCUUAUCACUUAGAGGAAGGAGAAGUCGUAACA